GACGAACGCUGGCGGCGUGCUUAACACAUGCAAGUCGAACGGAAAGGCCCUGCUUUUGUGGGGUGCUCGAGUGGCGAACGGGUGAGUAACACGUGAGUAACCUGCCCUUGACUUUGGGAUAACUUCAGGAAACUGGGGCUAAUACCGGAUAGGAGCUCCUGCUGCAUGGUGGGGGUUGGAAAGUUUCGGCGGUUGGGGAUGCACUCGCGGCUUAUCAGCUUGUUGGUGGGGUAGUGGCUUACCAAGGCUUUGACGGGUAGCCGGCCUGAGAGGGUGACCGGCCACAUUGGGACGGAGAUACGGCCCAGACUCCUACGGGAGGCAGCAGUGGGGAAUAUUGCACAAUGGGCGGAAGCCUGAUGCAGCAACGCCGCGUGCGGGAUGACGGCCUUCGGGUUGUAAACCGCUUUCGCCUGUGACGAAGCGUGAGUGACGGUAAUGGGUAAAGAAGCACCGGCUAACUACGUG
rnacentral:rRNA from 1 species